rnacentral:rRNA from 1 species
UACGUAGGGUGCGAGCGUUAAUCGGAAUUACUGGGCGUAAAGCGUGCGCAGGCGGUUUUGUAAGCCAGAUGUGAAAGCCCCGGGCUUAACCUGGGAAUGGCAUUUGGGACUGCAAGGCUUGAGUGCGGCAGAGGAGACUGGAAUUCCUGGUGUAGCAGUGAAAUGCGUAGAUAUCAGGAGGAACACCGGUGGCGAAGGCGGGUCUCUGGGCCGUAACUGACGCUGAGGAGCGAAAGCGUGGGGAGCGAACAGG